rnacentral:rRNA from 1 species
AUUGAACGCUGGCGGCAGGCUUAACACAUGCAAGUCGAGCGGAGAUGAGGUGCUUGCACCUUAUCUUAGCGGCGGACGGGUGAGUAAUGCUUAGGAAUCUGCCUAUUAGUGGGGGACAACAUUCCGAAAGGAAUGCUAAUACCGCAUACGUCCUACGGGAGAAAGCAGGGGAUCUUCGGACCUUGCGCUAAUAGAUGAGCCUAAGUCGGAUUAGCUAGUUGGUGGGGUAAAGGCCUACCAAGGCGACGAUCUGUAGCGGGUCUGAGAGGAUGAUCCGCCACACUGGGACUGAAGCACGGCCCAGACUCCUACGGGGGGAAGCAGUGGGGAAUAUUGGACAAUGGGGGGAACCCUGAUCCAGCCAUGCCGCGUGUGUGAAGAAGGCCUUAUGGUUGUAAAGCACUUUAAGCGAGGAGGAGGCUACUGAGACUAAUACUCUUGGAUAGUGGACGUUACUCGCAGAAUAAGCACCGGCUAACUCUGUGCCAGCCGCCGCCGUAA